rnacentral:rRNA from 1 species
UACGGAGGGUGCGAGCGUUGUCCGGAAUCACUGGGCGUAAAGGGCUCGUAGGCGGUCCAUCGCGUCGGUAGUGAAAAGCUGGGGCUCAACCCCAGUCCUGCUUCCGAUACGGGUGGACUAGAGGUAUGCAGGGGAGAACGGAAUUCCUGGUGUAGCGGUGAAAUGCGCAGAUAUCAAGAGGAACACCUGAGGUGAAGACGGGUUGCUGGGCCGACACUGACGCUGAUGCGCGAAAGCCAGGGGAGCGAACGGG